GAAAUGCGAUAAGUAGUGUGAAUUGCAGAACUCCGUGAAUCAUCGAAUCUUUGAACGCAUAUUGCGCUUUGCAGAGUAACGCCUGCGAAGCAUGCCUGUUUGAGCGUCCUAUAUCACACAUCACUCAUCAAGUCAUUCUUGGUGAGAUGGUCGAUGAGCGUCUGUUCUUGGCAGAGCAGUUGCUUGAAGAGUAGGAACGCAUAAAAAGCAUGAAGUCAGUGUGUAGCGCAAGAACGCAGAUGCUCGUCAAGCGGCAGUCAGAUGGUGAACAUCACUCUGGCAUACCGAAGACAAGCGUGUUCAGCGAGAUGAAGCACACACAACAAACAAAGACCUCAAAUCAGGCAAGACUACCCGCUGAACUUAA
rnacentral:misc_RNA from 1 species